GAGAUUUCUGCGGGAUUGCUGCAACUUUUGCUGCCAAAUUCUGGAUGACCAAUGAACACUCUUAGCUGCACACCAACACUAAGCAAAUCCUCAGUUUCAAAAGGAUUGGACAAAGAAUUCACUUGGCAAUAACAGUAGAACAUAAAGGACAAUACCCCUAUUCCCUACUGGCAAUAUCAAGCAAUUCCUGGAACUCAUUAUAAGGAACUGCAUAUGCCGCUAAAUUAUUGACAAAGAAAGCUAUUCACUGUACAAAAUAAUCCACAACAAGACCACAGAAAUGCCAACAAUCACUAGCAAUAUUUUGGAA
rnacentral:misc_RNA from 1 species